CUCUCCUCUCCAUCUUCAUCUUCAUCUCCAUCUCGAUCUGCUCAGCUGAGCUCUUCAUUCUCUUCUCAAUCUCUGAACUCUAUCAUCGUGUAGAAGUGUAUCAUCAGGUAAUGACAGUGUUGUAUUGUGGUUCCGCACUAGGGUAAAAUUUAGGCGGAAAAGUUGGUUAUUUUGAAUUGCGGGUAUGAAGGAACGGCAAACUCUUCGAGAUGGGUUCUCGACGUACUUGUCAGAUGUUGAUGAUGAUAAAUUAGAUACUUCAGGAGACUCUAUUAAAGGAAUCGGUGAAUCCUUCAUGGAUAUUAUGUCAUUUCUUCCUUUUUAUUUGGUUACCAUCUUGGGGUAGUGAGAGAACCACUUGAAAGUAUUUCACUGGAUCUUGGUUUUAGCAGGAAUUCCCUUGCUGAAGGUCUGGUGGUGAGUACAUGUCUUGGUGGUGCAUUUCUUGGGUCCAUUUUAAGUGGUUCAACAGAAGAUGAUGUAUGGCGUCGUAGGGGUUUUCAGUUGAGUGAUUUACCAAUGAUUAUUGGGUCUUUUCUUAGCGCGAUAACAGAAAUCCUGGAAGGUAUGCUUCUUGGGAGGUUUCUUGUUGGAACAGGCAUGGGUGUAGGUCCAUAUGUUGCUUCUCUCUAUGUAACUGAGGUUUCACCUUCUUUUGUAAGAGGUACUUAUGGGAGCUUUAUCCAGAUAGCAGCAUAUGUCUUGGACUUAUGUCAUCCCUGUUAAUUGGAAUCCCAGCCAAGGAAAUUGCUGGAUGAAGCACCUGGCUAACAUACUUUCUCUAUUGGUGGACUCAGUGGAUGGGGAAGAUGAGGAAUUCUGUGGAUUGUGAACUCUCUACAGUUGAGCAUAUUCAUUCAUGGAAGCUUCGCUAUGGUUAUGACCGUGUGAAUGAUGAUAAAUAUGUUUCCAACAUCGAGGCCAAGAUGACUGAUGGUAUGUCAUAUAUCUUAAAUUACAUAGUAGUUUACCAGUUCUUAGUUUCGUUUUUAGUAUAGUCAAGACUCAAGAUUUUGGUGAAUGUUUUGUACUAAAUAAAACAAGAACAGUUUUAGGGGAUAGUUUUGUGUAUUAUGCUUGCAAGAUGCUACUUCAGCUGGAUUACAAGAUGAUCCCCAA